CGCGUAGGCGGUGGGAUAAGUCAGAUGUGAAAGCCCUGGGCUCAACCUGGGAAUUGCAUUUGAUACUAUCUGACUAGAGUCUGGUAGAGGGGGGUGGAAUUCCAGGUGUAGCGGUGAAAUGCGUAGAGAUCUGGAGGAACACCAGUGGCGAAGGCGACCCCCUGGACCAAGACUGACGCUGAGGUGCGAAAGCGUGGGGAGCAAACA
rnacentral:rRNA from 1 species